AUCUAUCGUGUUUGAUUUAUUUUGCCAAUACACAGGAACUCUUGCAUUGGAAUGAGUCGUUUGUAAAUAAAAUAGUGACUUUUAUAUGAGUAGUGCUAUAUAAACAGUACCAAUGAUUAAAGAUUAGAAUAACAUAACUUCUUUUACUACCAUUUAUACCUACUGUGCGACCGUGAAGGUUGAGAAUGUUACGUCAUUUUGCUUUUAGUGUGUGAUAUAAACUUACUUAUUUUGUUUCUGUACUGAGACGUGUUUUUAACUCAAAGAGUGUUUGAAGUUGUGAGUAGUAAUAACAAGUGUAAAACGUCUGAAAUGAGUGGUUACUUACAUACACCGGCUGCGACAAAAUGCCGCCAUGUUAUUUAGGAUUCGCAGUUUCGCUGUCAACUACGGAUCGUGGUUAGCCCUGAUACAGUCGGAGGAUAUUUAUUAUUGAAAACCUGUGGUUAAUUUGGUUUUGCACUUUUAUAAUAACGUAACAUCGCCACGGAGCGCCAGAACUCAGCGCUAACGGGCGCCAAUCGCUUCAAUGAAACAUAUAUGCCAGUACUGGCUAUUGAAGAUGCAAGGUAAGGCUUAUUCUUUACUAUCUGCUUAUAUUUAUAUAUUCCUGUAUCUUUAUGAAUCGAAUAUUAAUCCUUAUUGAAGACAUGGUGUCACAAACGCUACUUUUGUUGAUUUCUACCUCGUAGGGAGAAUUUGGACAGGAUAUUUGGAGGAAAUCCUUUAGUCGCAAUAAAUUCCAUUCGUGGUUAUUAUUAUUCGUAAUUAUUUUAUUUGCUACUUUAGAGAUUUGGACGGAACUCAAAUGCGACUAGAAAACUAGAUUAAACGCGAAUAUAGUGAAUUCAACUAUUCGCGAAUGGACCGUCGACAGAAGGCUGUCUAAGCAACUAUAUCGUAUCAAUAAAAAGGGUUAAUAUUCGAUUCACACUUUCCUUAGGAUAAAGGCUUUGUUGAAAGUUUUUAUUCGAGGAUACCUCAAUAUUCAUAAUGUUCAUUCAUAAACUCGCAAGCAAGCUCUCGUUAGUAUUAUUAAUGAUUAGUUAUUUUCCUAGUUUUCUUACGUCGUAUUAUGCAAGGUCUUAAAUAUCAGUAGAAUGUAUUACAAAAUUUCAAUAAAAUCCUCUUACAGUCCGUGGUUCUAGAAGAAAAUGAAAUAUUUUCCGAGAGAGUAUGAUAUCGCCCAUGGCAACUUGUAAAGAAAGUAAAGCCUGAGUUUCAAAGCAUAAUAAUCUGCUGCAAUUUUUACUUUCAAACAGUUCUUUUACUUGUUUCUUCUAAAUUUUUAUGAAGCGCGUUCUGUUUGUGUAUAACAAACAAACUAAAUUUAAUUAGUAAAUGUAAAAAAGGUCAUCUCUGAAAUAAUUUCAAGAGUUUUAAUGGGAUUUCAUAUUUACGUUGUUCCCGGUAAACUGACAGUAAUGCAUGCUUAAAGUUUUACUAUGUUUUUUACUUGAGGCGUGUUACAGCCCUGGAUUCGUUAUUAUAAACGCACUGAAUGAGGUUAUCUGCGUAAUUUUUGCUACCCGAUCCGGGUUUCUGCGCAUUAGGAAUUGAUCUGGAAUUAAAAUGGUGUAACUAGAUUGUACUAGACCUAAUAGACUCUAUUGUAGAUUGGCUUAAAAAGGGGAUGUAUUAUAGAAAUUGUAUAUAGGUUGAGAAAAUAAAUUUGUACUUAUGGUAAUAUUUGAGCUAUUGAAUUGGCGCGUGGUUCUCAUGGCGACGCUCCGACGGCGAUAGCGGCAGACGGUCUCCAUGACGACACCGGAGACUCGCAUGCCUCCAACCGCGGUGUGGGUACGGGUGCGAUCAAUCCCGGGCGGAGGAAGUCUGCACCCACCCCGCCGCCACCGCCGCCACCGACGCCGCCGUCGCCGUCGUUUACCGCUGCGGUCAACGCGCACUCUUCUCGCGCACAUAUUCUUACUAUAAUUUUAAAACCAUUACUCUUUCCGUCCUCCUAGAUGACUUAAUUGAAAUGUAGACAAGCGCGUUUGCACACAUCAUAUUGAUGGAUUAGGUGCAUUCAACACUACGGUAAUUUAUUAAAAUAUAUUUAUAUCUCCUUCAAAAUAUUCAUCAAUCAAAACUUGACUAAGCCGUUAAUGGAAAAUAAUUUAAAUUACCAAUGCGAUCUUGAUAACUUAGUAAUAGGUCUGUUGGACAUGACUGAACCGCACACUGACUCAGUUAAGCGCUAUAGAUUUGGUAGAGAAAUAAAUAAAAAAGUUUUUACUGUCUAGAGCUCGUUUACGAUAACAUCGCUUAUUCUCCGUAACUCCGCGAUGUAACUUACACAAUAAACGUAACGCAACAUGUAGAUACUGGCAACGCUUGGUUGGUUUUCCUGAUCUUGGCAUUGGUCCUGCUUCGUUUGCAACGCCUCUAAAAUUGGUAUAAAAUUGGAAACUUUCUAUUUUUUAUGAUGUUAACAUUGAAAGGAUUUUUCAACGAUCAAAUUUAUCGUUAAUUAAGUAUUUACGCAUGGUCUAAUACGGAAACAAUCACCAAAAUGUACGUUACGUUUUGGUUUCCACGCUUCUAUAUUUAAUUCACCAAAUUAUUGACUUAUUCUAGCGAUAAUCAUAAAGAACGAUCGAACUAUACCUCAAUUGAUAUG